GACGAACGCUGGCGGCGUGCUUAACACAUGCAAGUCGAACGAAGUGGCGAACGGGUGAGUAAAGCGUAAUCAACCUGCCCUUCAAAGGGGGACAACAGGUGGAAAAGACUGCUAAUACAGCAUACUGAAGGAGGGGAUUGCGUCUGAUUAGCUAGUUGGAUGGGUAACGGCCCAUCAAGGCGAUGAUCAGUAGCCGGACUGAGGGGAUGAACGGCCACAUUGGGACUGAGACACGGCCCAGACUCCUACGGGAGGCAGCAGUUGGGAAUCUUCCGCAAUGGACGGAAGUCUGACGAAGCAACGCCGCGUGAGUGAUGACGGCCUUCGGGUUGUAAAGAUCUGUUAAUCGGGACGCGGUACCGGAAUAGAAAGCCACGGCUAACUACGUGCCAGCAGCCGCGGUAAUUC
rnacentral:rRNA from 1 species